rnacentral:rRNA from 1 species
ACAUGCCUACAACAUAGCAUUAAUGCACCAGAUCCCAUUAGAACUCUGUAGUUAAGCGCACUCAGGCUAGAGUAGUACUGGGAUGGAUGACCACCCGAGAAGUCCUAGUGUUACAUGCC